AUGCCCACGCUCGGCGGGGGUUCUGCGGGAUCUGGACACGGCGUCAUCAAGGGGAAGAAAGGGAACGCGAUUGCUGACAGUAAUGACCCUGCUAGAGCGUUUGCAAACAAGUUUAGAGUCACAUAUGGAAAGGACGAGUCUGAGGCGAAUUCUGAAGAUUGGAAUAGCAUUCUCUCCAUAGAAAAGAUGCUGAGCCUUCCUCCUGAUCGUGAACCGAAGGAGUAUUUCACGGAAUUGGACCAAAAUCUGUAUAAAGUAGUCAAAACCAUUGAAGGAAGGAAAUUGGAACCCAAGAGAGAAAGAUUGGUGAAGGACCUACGACUUUUGAUAGAGCAGUUCCUUGAGAUGAUGGAAACUGGCGUAUUUCUCAAUGAGGACAGACAGAGAGCAGCUUUGCAAGCAAAAGACUGGCUCGAGAAGAAGCUGAAGGUGCAGAGCUCGGUUCCAUUAUAUGAAGAUCCUGUCCUAAAAUGUUCUGAUUUAGACAGGUGGAUUAAAAAUCUAUCAUCUAGGAAGAACUCUUGA
rnacentral:rRNA from 1 species